rnacentral:pre_miRNA from 1 species
GGGGUGAGGCCGGAUCCUGGUCUGUGUCCUGGAGUCAUGUGUUCCGGAGCCUGCGCUGUUGGAUUCGCGCUCCCGGCCGGGCAGCCCCCU